GCGGGCGUAAUUCAGUGGUAGAAUACCAGCUUCCCAAGCUGGGUGCCGUGGGUUCGAAUCCCAUCGCCCGCUCUA
rnacentral:tRNA from 4 species